rnacentral:rRNA from 1 species
GUCACACCAUGGAAGUCUGCAAUGCCCGAAGCCGGUGGCCUAACCACUUAUGUGGAAGGAGCCGUCUAAGGCAGGGCAGAUGACUGGGGUGAAGUCGUAACAAGGUAAC